CCACGGAGGGCGCAAGCGUUGCUCGGAAUCACUGGGCGUAAAGCGGGUGUAGGCGGUCUAGCAAGUCAGAUGUGAAAGCCCACGGCUCAACCGUGGAAGUGCGUCUGAAACUGCUAGACUUGAGUGCCGGAGAGGGAAGUGGAAUUCCUGGUGUAGGGGUGAAAUCCGUAGAUAUCAGGAGGAACACCGGUGGCGAAGGCGACUUCCUGGACGGCCACUGACGCUGAGACCCGAAAGCGUGGGGAGCAAACAGGAUUAGAUACCCUAGUAGUCC
rnacentral:rRNA from 1 species